AGAGUUUGAUCCUGGCUCAGGACGAACGCUGGCGGCGUGUUUAAUAUAUGUAAGUUGAAUGAGGCUUAGUUGGUGGUAAUAUUGAGGAUGAUUUAGUGGUGAAUGGGUGAGUAACACGUGAGAAACCUGCCCCGAAGACCGGGAUAACCAGAGGAAAUUUUGGUUAAUACCGGAUAUCUUCACCGGAUCGUAUGGUCUGGUGAAGAAAUGGAUUUUGCUUCGGGAGGGUUUCGCGGCCUAUUAGCUAGUUGGUGAGGUAAUGGUUUACCAAGGCAUUGAUGGGUAGCUGGUUUGAGAGGAUGAUUAGCCACACUGGGACUGAGACACGGCCCAGACUCCUACGGGAGGCAGCAGUGGGAAUUUUGCGUAAUGGGUGAAAGCCUGACGCAGUAACGCUGCGUGGGGGAGGAAGGCUUUUGGGUCGUAAACCCCUUUCAGCAGGAAUGAAAAUGAUGGUAUCUGCAGAAGAAGCCCUGGCCAACUACGUGCCAGUAGUUGUGGUAAUAUGUAGGGGAUAAGUGUUGUUUGGAUUUAUUGGGCGUAAAGAGCUUGUAGGUGGCUCGGUAAGUUGGGUGUGAAAACUCCAGGCUUAAUCUGGAGAGGCCACUCAAUACUGCCGUGGUUAGAGUUUGGUAGAGGAUCGUGGAAUUUCUGGUGUAGUGGUGAAAUGUGUAGAUAUUAGAAGGAACACCAACGGUGAAGGCAGCGAUCUGGGCCGAUACUGAUGCUGAGGAGUGAAAGCAUGGGGAGUAAAUAGGAUUAGAUAUUUUGGUAGUUUAUGUUGUAAAUGUUGGGCACUAGGUGUGGGACCCUGUUAAUGGGUUCCGUGCCGUAGUUAAUGUAUUAAGUGCCCUGUUUGGGGAGUAUGGUUGUAAGGUUAAAAUUUAAAGGAAUUGAUGGGGGCCCGCAUAAGUGGUGGAGUAUGUUGCUUAAUUUGAGGCAACGUGAAGAAUUUUACCUGGAUUUGUUAUGUACCGAAAAGCCAUAGAGAUAUGGUGUCCUUCGGGGCGGUACACAGGUGGUGCAUGGCUGUCGUCAGCUCGUGUUGUGAGAUGUUGGGUUAAGUCUCGCAACGAGCGCAACCCUUGUCCUAUGUUGCCAGUAUGUAAUGGUGGGGAUUUGUAGGAGACUGCCGGGGUUAACUCGGAGGAAGGUGGGGAUGAUGUUAAGUUAUUAUGUUUCUUAUGUUAGGGCUGUAAAUAUGUUAUAAUGGCUGGUACAAAGAGUAGCGAAACCGUGAGGUGGAGCGAAUUUUAUAAAGCCAGUCUCAGUUCGGAUUGAAGUCUGUAAUUUGACUUCAUGAAGCCGGAGUCGCUAGUAAUCCCGGAUUAGUAAUGCCGGGGUGAAUACGUUCCCGGGCCUUGUACACACCGCCCGUCACACGCCGAAAGUUGGUAAUACCCGAAGUCAGUGGCCCAACCC
rnacentral:rRNA from 1 species